rnacentral:pre_miRNA from 1 species
UCUUUGGUUAUCUAGCUGUAUGAGUGUACAUGACAUUAUAAAGCUAGGUUACCAAAGACA